rnacentral:misc_RNA from 1 species
GAUGAAGAACGUAGCAAAAUGCGAUAAGUAAUGUGAAUUGCAGAAUUCAGUGAAUCAUCGAAUCUUUGAACGCACAUUGCGCCCGCCAGUAUUCUGGCGGGCAUGCCUGUUCGAGCGUCAUUUCAACCCUCAAGCUCAGCUUGGUGUUGGGACUCGCGGUAACCCGCGUUCCCCAAAUCGAUUGGCGGUCGCGUCGAGCUUCCAUAGCGUAGUAAUCAUACACCUCGUUACUGGUAAUCGUCGCGGCCACGCCGUAAAACCCCAACUUCUGAAUGUUGACCUCGGAUCAGGUAGGAAUACCCGCUGAACUUAAGCAUAUCAAUAAGCGGAGGA